rnacentral:rRNA from 1 species
CAGCCGCCACGGUAAUACGAAGGGUGCAAGCGUUAAUCGGAAUUACUGGGCGUAAAGCGUGCGUAGGCGGUGAGUUAAGUCUGUUGUGAAAUCCCCGGGCUCAACCUGGGAAUGGCAGUGGAUACUGGCUCGCUAGAGUGUGUCAGAGGAUGGUGGAAUUCCCGGUGUAGCGGUGAAAUGCGUAGAUAUUCGGAAGAACACCAGUGGCGAAGGCGACACACUGGCUCACUACUGACGCUGAGGCGCGAAAGCGUGGGGAGCAAACAGGAUUAGAUACCCCGGUAGUCCCUGUCUCUUAUAC